UACGUAGGGUGCGAGCGUUGUCCGGAAUUACUGGGCGUAAAGAGCUCGUAGGUGGUUUGUCGCGUUGUUCGUGAAAACUCACAACUCAAUUGUGGGCGUGCGGGCGAUACGGGCAGACUGGAGUACUGCAGGGGAGACUGGAAUUCCCGGUGUAGUGGUGAAAUGCGUAGAUAUCGGGAGGAACACCAGUGGCGAAGGCGACUACCUGGCCUGUUCUUGACGCUGAGGCGCGAAAGCUAGGGGAGCAAACGGG
rnacentral:rRNA from 1 species